ACUGUAUAAACCAAAUGUCCAAAAAAUGAACAAACCAAACCAUGUACUUGUAGUAGCUAGAGAAAAUGAAUGCAGCAAAUGCCUGAACAAGACGUGGGUUAUGAACAAGGAAGUUAUUAGAUGAAAUGCCAUUACAAGGAUAGAUAAAAGUUAGAUGAAACUAAGAGCUUUAGAAUUUAGUUAAUGGCCAUGAACAUGU
rnacentral:lncRNA from 1 species